UACGAAGGGGGCUAGCGUUGCUCGGAAUUACUGGGCGUAAAGCGCACGUAGGCGGCUUCUUAAGUCGGUGGUGAAAUCCUGGAGCUCAACUCCAGAACUGCCUUCGAUACUGGGAGCUCGAGUCCGGGAGAGGUGAGUGGAACUGCGAGUGUAGAGGUGAAAUUCGUAGAUAUUCGCAAGAACACCAGUGGCGAAGGCGGCUCACUGGCCCGGUACUGACGCUGAGGUGCGAAAGCGUGGGGAGCGAACCGG
rnacentral:rRNA from 1 species